rnacentral:lncRNA from 1 species
UAGAAAGCGGCAAAAAGAAGCGGCGGACGAUGGAGGCUGUUGUUCCGAUUUCUCCUCCCCGGCGGUGCUUGAAGAACGCCAGCCAGCCAGAGACCACAUCUAUGGAUUUAUCUGCAUCGCCAUCAUCGUCUAGGAUUUAUCUGCGUCGCCACCGCCACCUCAAAUUCCACAAGAUGGCUAUGAAAUUGUGCAGUUCAACUUCUCAAUUUUCACACAUUUCUGUGGGGGAAAUGAGUUGGUGAAUUAAACGAUUUCGUAGUUGGUGUGGAAUUAAA